rnacentral:rRNA from 1 species
AGAUGGGAGCUUGCUCCCUGAUGUUAGCGGCGGACGGGUGAGUAACACGUGGGUAACCUGCCUGUAAGACUGGGAUAACUCCGGGAAACCGGGGCUAAUACCGGAUGCUUGUUUGAACCGCAUGGUUCAAACAUAAAAGGUGGCUUCGGCUACCACUUACAGAUGGACCCGCGGCGCAUUAGCUAGUUGGUGAGGUAAUGGCUCACCAAGGCAACGAUGCGUAGCCGACCUGAGAGGGUGAUCGGCCACACUGGGACUGAGACACGGCCCAGACUCCUACGGGAGGCAGCAGUAGGGAAUCUUCCGCAAUGGACGAAAGUCUGACGGAGCAACGCCGCGUGAGUGAUGAAGGUUUUCGGAUCGUAAAGCUCUGUUGUUAGGGAAGAACAAGUACCGUUCGAAUAGGGCGGUACCUUGACGGUACCUAACCAGAAAGCCACGGCUAACUACGUGCCAGCAGCCGCGGUAAUACGUAGGUGGCAAGCGUUGUCCGGAAUUAUUGGGCGUAAAGGGCUCGCAGGCGGUUUCUUAAGUCUGAUGUGAAAGCCCCCGGCU